GACGAACGCUGGCGGCGUGCUUAACACAUGCAAGUCGAACGGAAAGGCCCUGCUUUUGUGGGGUGCUCGAGUGGCGAACGGGUGAGUAACACGUGAGUAACCUGCCCUUGACUUUGGGAUAACUUCAGGAAACUGGGGCUAAUACCGGAUAGGAGCUCCUGCUGCAUGGUGGGGGUUGGAAAGUUUCGGCGGUUGGGGAUGGACUCGCGGCUUAUCAGCUUGUUGGUGGGGUAGUGGCUUACCAAGGCUUUGACGGGUAGCCGGCCUGAGAGGGUGACCGGCCACAUUGGGACUGAGAUACGGCCCAGACUCCUACGGGAGGCAGCAGUGGGGAAUAUUGCACAAUGGGCGGAAGCCUGAUGCAGCAACGCCGCGUGCGGGAUGACGGCCUUCGGGUUGUAAACCGCUUUCGCCUGUGACGAAGCGUGAGUGACGGUAAUGGGUAAAGAAGCACCGGCUAACUACGUGCCAGCAGCCGCGGUGAUACGUAGGGUGCGAGCGUUGUCCGGAUUUAUUGGGCGUAAAGGGCUCGUAGGUGGUUGAUCGCGUCGGAAGUGUAAUCUUGGGGCUUAACCCUGAGCGUGCUUUCGAUACGGGUUGACUUGAGGAAGGUAGGGGAGAAUGGAAUUCCUGGUGGAGCGGUGGAAUGCGCAGAUAUCAGGAGGAACACCAGUGGCGAAGGCGGUUCUCUGGGCCUUUCCUGACGCUGAGGAGCGAAAGCGUGGGGAGCGAACAGGCUUAGAUACCCUGGUAGUCCACGCUGUAAACGGUGGGUACUAGGUGUGGGGUCCAUUCCACGGGUUCCGUGCCGUAGCUAACGCUUUAAGUACCCCGCCUGGGGAGUACGGCCGCAAGGCUAAAACUCAAAGGAAUCGACGGGGCCCCGCACAAGCGGCGGAGCAUGCGGAUUAAUUCGAUGCAACGCGUAGAACCUUACCUGGGUUUGACAUGGAUCGGGAGUGCUCAGAGAUGGGUGUGCCUCUUUUGGGGUCGGUUCACAGGUGGUGCAUGGCUGUCGUCAGCUCGUGUCGUGAGAUGUUGGGUUAAGUCCCGCAACGAGCGCAACCCUUGUUCACUGUUGCCAGCACGUUAUGGUGGGGACUCAGUGGAGACCGCCGGGGUCAACUCGGAGGAAGGUGGGGAUGACGUCAAGUCAUCAUGCCCCUUAUGUCCAGGGCUUCACGCAUGCUACAAUGGCUGGUACAGAGAGUGGCGAGCCUGUGAGGGUGAGCGAAUCUCGGAAAGCCGGUCUCAGUUCGGAUUGGGGUCUGCAACUCGACCUCAUGAAGUCGGAGUCGCUAGUAAUCGCAGAUCAGCAACGCUGCGGUGAAUACGUUCCCGGG
rnacentral:rRNA from 1 species